GAGAACACGCAGUUAUCGAGUUGUUGAAUAUAUAAUCAACUGGUAACCGUGUGGUCCUAG
rnacentral:precursor_RNA from 1 species